rnacentral:rRNA from 1 species
AGACUCUCCCCUGCUAACGGACCUUAGUGUUUUCUAGACGGUGUGAUUCGGAGCAAGAGUCCAUGGGCGUAAGCCCCGGUCUCGGACGAUGUCCACUGAUCCUUGGUGCGUUGGUGUUCCGCGUGCCAUCGGAGAGUUGAGUGUUCGCAUUCUUCGCCUCUGUGGAUUUCUCGGUUCAUCGACAAAGCGCCUCGGAGUACGUUUCUUCUUAGAGGGAUUGACGACUUAUAAGUCGUAAGAAACAGGGAGCAAUAA